rnacentral:piRNA from 1 species
UCAUGAAGAGUUGACACCUUUUGGGUUGC